GGGUGAGUAACACGUGGGUGAUCUGCCCUGUACUUUGGGAUAAGCCUGGGAAACUGGGUCUAAUACCGGAUAGGACCACAUCGUAGGGGUGUGGUGGAAAGAUUUUUCGGUGCAGGAUGAGCCCGCGGCCUAUCAGCUUGUUGGUGGGGUAAUGGCCUACCAAGGCGUCGACGGGUAGCCGGCCUGAGAGGGUGUACGGCCACAUUGGGACUGAGACACGGCCCAGACUCCUACGGGAGGCAGCAGUGGGGAAUAUUGCACAAUGGGCGCAAGCCUGAUGCAGCGACGCCGCGUGGGGGAUGACGGCCUUCGGGUUGUAAACCCCUUUCGCCAGGGACGAAGCUUUAGGGUGACGGUACCUGGAUAAGAAGCACCGGCUAACUACGUGCCAGCAGCCGCGGUAAUACGUAGGGUGCGAGCGUUGUCCGGAAUUACUGGGCGUAAAGAGCUCGUAGGUGGUUUGUCGCGUCGUCUGUGAAAAAGCGGGGCUUAACUCCGUUCGUGCAGGCGAUACGGGCAUAACUGGAGUGCUGUAGGGGAGACUGGAAUUCCUGGUGUAGCGGUGAAAUGCGCAGAUAUCAGGAGGAACACCGAUGGCGAAGGCAGGUCUCUGGGCAGUUACUGACGCUGAGGAGCGAAAGCAUGGGUAGCGAACAGGAUUAGAUACCCUGGUAGUCCAUGCCGUAAACGGUGGGCGCUAGGUGUAGGGAUCUUCCACGAUUUCUGUGCCGUAGCUAACGCAUUAAGCGCCCCGCCUGGGGAGUACGGCCGCAAGGCUAAAAUCAAAGGAAUUGACGGGGGCCCGCACAAGCGGCGGAGCAUGUGGAUUAAUUCGAUGCAACGCGAAGAACCUUACCUGGGCUUG
rnacentral:rRNA from 1 species